AUACGUAGGGAGCAAACGUUGUCCGGAUUUAUUGGGCGUAAAGGGCUCGUAGGCGGUUCAACAAGUCGGUCGUGAAAGCCCGGGGCUCAACCCCGGGACGCCGGUCGAAACUGUUGUGACUAGAGUUCGGUAGAGGUGAGUGGAAUUCUCGGUGUAGCGGUGGAAUGCGCAGAUAUCGAGAGGAACACCAUUAGCGAAGGCGGCUCACUGGGCCGAUACUGACGCUGAGGCGCGAAAGCGUGGGGAGCAAACAGGAUUAGAAACCCUAGUAGUCC
rnacentral:rRNA from 1 species